rnacentral:rRNA from 1 species
CCUACGGGAGGCAGCAGUGGGGAAUAUUGGGCAAUGGGCGCAAGCCUGACCCAGCAACGCCGCGUGAAGGAAGAAGGCUUUCGGGUUGUAAACUUCUUUUGUCAGGGACGAAGCAAGUGACGGUACCUGACGAAUAAGCCACGGCUAACUACGUGCCAGCAGCCGCGGUAAUACGUAGGUGGCAAGCGUUAUCCGGAUUUACUGGGUGUAAAGGGCGUGUAGGCGGGGAAGCAAGUCUGGAGUGAAAGCCCGGGGCCCAACCCCGGAACUGCUCUGGAAACUGUGCGGCUAGAGUACUGGAGGGGCAGGCGGAAUUCCGAGUGUAGCGGUGAAAUGCGUAGAUAUUAGGAGGAACACCAGUGGCGAAGGCGGCCUGCUGGACAGUAACUGACGUUGAGGCUCGAAAGCGUGGGGAGCAAACAGGAUUAGAUACCCUAGUAGUC